GAAUAAGCAAUGAAGAGACAGUUAUAAACGGAGAGUUCAAAGAGAGCAUUCGGAUGGUGUGAGAAUGCAACUUUAGUUUAUGAAAUCAACUUGGAGCAAAAUGGUAUGUCUGCCUUAAAGACAUUGAGUGAUAGGACCUAUAAUAAGGGUGGUACCGCGGCGUAAGUCGUCCCUUAA
rnacentral:ncRNA from 1 species